rnacentral:rRNA from 1 species
UACGUAGGGGGCAAGCGUUGUCCGGAAUCAUUGGGCGUAAAGCGCGUGUAGGCGGCCCGAUAAGUCCGCUGUGAAAGUCCAGGGCUCAACCCUGGGAUGCCGGUGGAUACUGUCGGGCUCGAGUCCGGAAGAGGAGUGUGGAAUUCCUAGUGUAGCGGUGAAAUGCGCAGAUAUCAGGAGGAACACCAAUGGCGAAGGCAGCACUCUGGGACGUGACUGACGCUGAGACGCGAAAGCGUGGGGAGCAAACAGG